GCCUUGGUGGCGGAAUUGGUAGACGCGCUAGACUCAAAAUCUUGUGAGUGCAAGCUCGUGUGGGUUCGAGUCCCACCCAAGGUACUA
rnacentral:tRNA from 1 species